rnacentral:rRNA from 1 species
GACGAACGCUAGCGGCGUGCUUAACACAUGCAAGUCGAGCGGUAAGGCCCUUCGGGGUACACGAGCGGCGAACGGGUGAGUAACACGUGGGUGAUCUGCCUUGCACUUCGGGAUAAGCCUGGGAAACUGGGUCUAAUACCGGAUAUGACCYCGRAWYGCAUGMUYYGGGGUGGAAAGAUUUAUCGGUGCGAGAUGGGCCCGCGGCCUAUCAGCUUGUUGGUGAGGUAACGGCUCACCAAGGCGACGACGGGUAGCCGACCUGAGAGGGUGACCGGCCACACUGGGACUGAGACACGGCCCAGACUCCUACGGGAGGCAGCAGUGGGGAAUAUUGCACAAUGGGCGCAAGCCUGAUGCAGCGACGCCGCGUGCGGGAUGACGGCCUUCGGGUUGUAAACCGCUUUUGACAGGGACGAAGCGCAAGUGACUGUACCUGUAGAAUAAGGACCGGCCAACUACGUG